rnacentral:lncRNA from 1 species
CCACAGCUGAAGGUCAGUCCCCAAAGCUGGUUAUGGUUGAAAGGGAGGAAAAGCUGCUCCCACGUGGCUCUGGCUGAGGCUUCCGAGACUCUGCAGGUGGGGGCCGUCUGUCUUCCCCAGGUGGGAGCUACUUCUUUUUAGAAGCAGGCUCCACGGCGGUUUUCAGGUGUGGCCUUGCCCAGCGUCCCGAUGUUUUGCUUCCUGCCUGGCCUCGGCGCUCUUUGAUGACCUCCUCUUGCCACACACUGUGGUCUCCAUAGGCUGCCCACUGCUGAUCCGAGGCUGGUGGCCCCCAGCACACGUGGGUUUCUGAGGAACACGCUGAGACUCUCGGGCCAUGCCGUGACACAGGGGAGACAGCGUCUGCUCUUUUUCCAUUUUUGUUCGUUUUCAGUGCUCUGACCCUCAGGAAGCCCACUUAAGCAUCCCAGAAUCCAGACGGCCGUGAACAAAGCUGCUGUGGUUUGGGGCUGCAAAACUGGCCCACAGCCCACCUGGAUAACUGAAUCGAACAUGCCUCAGCCGCCCUCACCACAGGCACCAUCCCCCUCACAGAAGUUUGAUGUCUGAUCAUUCAGCACUGGCUGAGCCUCAGAGCUAAAAUGGAAAAUGCAUUUUAUGAGCAGAUAACACAUUUUUGGAAUGGCUACUUUAAACAUUGUGGAUACAGAUUCACAGAGACUAUUUUUAGAUGAAUUAUUUCUUCUAUUUACCAUACUGAUUUGCUGGAAGAAAGAAAAACAAUAUUUUAAAAAGGGAAAACAUUCUUUAAAAGCAGUGACUCUAAAUUUCCCCUGAAGAGCAAAAUGCUGUCUGUGUCUCACUCAAUGUGGUGGCUGCUACAGGAGGAUCUUCCCAGGCCUUCUCAGGGAAUUCCCAUCAGGAUCACAGGAAUGGUACCUGGCAGACACAACCCAGUCUGCACCUUCCAUGGGCCACAGCUGAUGGUACGAGGAGAGGUGUGACAUCUGCCUGACCUCAGCUCUGGGGGUUCCUGUGGGUGGACAGAAGGAGCCCUGGAGGCCCGGCCAGGAUGCGUCAUCUGUGGCUACCACGUGGAUUCUCUGGUGUGCUGAGUCAAGGCAGCGAUCUUCCAAGUGUGGUCGCUGUACCUCCAUCAGCACCUCCUGGGACUUGUCAGGACGCUGACCCGGGCCCCAGCCAAGUUCUGCUGCUGCCUCAGGGGGACAGAGGCAGGGCCUCACUGUCUGAUGAUCCAGCCCUGCAGGGGGCCCGCUGCACCUGCAGGUGUGAGAGCCGCCGCUGAAUUAAGGUGACUGGAAGGUUUCAGGGCAUGGGAGGGAGGUAGAUCAUUUGGGGCUGAGAAGCACUUUUGCAUCUCUUUCCUGCCCAGAAGCGACCAGAGAGGCCAGGCAUUGUCACCUGGAGACUUUGGAAAUGAAGCCCUGAGCUGAUCUAAUAAUUUCUGGCAAAUUCUAUGGGGUUGCUUCAUGAAUUAGGAAAAGCCAUAGAAACUCAAGUGUAAAUCGUGUGUUAUAUCCCAGGGCCGCGCGCUUAAUGUGGACUGUGGAGCUUGUACGCAGCCUGUCACACCCUGCCAGCCUCAAUACGGCUCUCCUUACCCCGGGCCUCUGCACGCACAUAUGAAAGGCAACCUCACCUCUGUGGCUUGCAUGGUUCAGCGAUUCAUACUGUGCUCAGUUCAAAAGCCACCAUUUCCACCAAGACGUGGUGACCUCAACUGGAUUGGAGACAACGCCUCUCCCCAGCUCCUCUGGAAUAUGGUUCUGUCCUCUGAGCCUGGUAUCGGCGUCGAUGCUGUCUACAUGCGCUGCUGGCUGGUCGCCUACUGGAUGUGUCUGCCCGCUGGGGGAAGGAACCAGGCCCUGGAAUGGGAUCCUGAGUAGGAGCACAGUCUGGAUAUUCCUGCAGGAGUGAAGAGACAUUCUCAGGGCGGAUGUUGCCAGGACAAAGAAACACAAGCAACAACAAGAACAAAACUGGAGGUGAGAGCUGUGAUGGUGUUGAGAGUGGCUCCUCGUGCUUUUGAGCACCUUUAGCUUUCUGGAAUGUUCCACAUGGGGUGUGAGCCAUGAUGGUGUUGAGAGUGGCUCCUCGUGCUUCCAUGCACCUUUAGCUUUCCGGAAUGGUCCGUUGGGGGUGCGAGUCAUGAUGGUGUUGAGAGUGGCUCCUCAUGCUUCCAUGCAACUUUAGCUUUCUGGAGUGUUCCACGGGGUGCAGAGUGUGUCUUCAAACGUGGACACAGGUGUGCAGGGGUCUCCUUUUGAUGCGUAAGGAAUAAGGAGACACGGGGUGCUGAGGUGUCCUCUCAGGCCCAGAAGUUAGGCUUCCUAACACCGUGGACCAGGUUUAACCACACAUGUGUUUUCCUCACAGUGCUGGAGGCUGGAGGUCCAAGGUCAAGGCUUGGGCAGGUUGGCUUCUCUGGGGCCUCUCUCCUUGGCUUGCAGACAGUACCUCCUCGUGGUGUCCAUGUGGGUGCCCCUCUGUGCACAUGGACACAGGGUGUCUCUGUGCGUCCUAAUAUAUCCUCUUCUUCUAAGGACGCCCCUGACAUGGAUUCGGCACCCUCAUGGCCUUGUUUUAACUUAAUCAACUCUGCAACGACCCUGUCUCCAAUUUUUCAAAGAGCUAAAAGUGGAAAUACCAUUUCACUCAGGAAUCCCAUGACUCAAAGGAAAAUAAAUACUUCUAUCAAAAAGACACAUACACUCACAUGUUUAUCAUGGCACUAUUCACAACA